rnacentral:rRNA from 1 species
GAUCCUGCUCAGGAUGAACGCUGGCGGCGUGCAUAACACAUUCAAGUCGAACGAGGCAGCAAUGCCUAGUGGCGGACGGGUGAGUAACGCGUGAGCAACCUGCCCUUGCGUGGGGGAUACCAUCUGGAAACGGAUGUUAAUACCGCAUAAAGUACAAGCGACCGCAUGGUCGUAGUACCAAAGAUUUAUUGCGCAAGGAUGGGCUCGCGUCCCAUUAGAUAGUUGGUGAGGUGACCGG